UGGGGGAUCGGCUAGCGGUAGGCCAGCAGACUCUGGAUCUGCCUGCGGAGGUUCGAAUCCUCCUCCCCCAGCCA
rnacentral:tRNA from 1 species